rnacentral:lncRNA from 1 species
ACAAAUAUAUAUUGAAUGCAGACCAUACACCCUCAUUAACUUGGGUCUGAAAAGAAAUUGGUGAACAAAACAAUAGAGACCCUGCCCUGUUGUGACUUAUAAUGUAUUAACAUGCUAAGACAUUCAAAUGGAAAUGUCAGACAGCUGUCUGUAGUGUUCCAGAGAGAAGUCUCUGCCAAGAGGUGCCAUUUGAAAGAUCCCUCCACAUUUGUUCUGGAACUUUACUUGAGACCAAUAUAGAUUUAAUAAUCACUAAUCUAGGCACUGGAAAAGCUGCCACAGAUAACACAAAGCCUCUGCUGUAAUAAAGCUUGCAUUCUAGUGGGAGAAAACAGACGAUAAACCAAGGACUUUAUGAUGUACCAGGAGGACAUAAAUACUAUGAAAAAAUAGAAAGCAGGGCAAGGGAAGAGAAUAGGACAGGUAAGUAGAAAUGGUGUUAUAAAUAGGCAGGGCCACCCUGUCUCUCCAUAAUGAGGGGACAGGGCAUGCUAACCUCUGGGGGAAGAGCGUUGCAGACCCAGGAAAUGGCAAUUAAAACUGGAGUGUGUGGUGUGUCCCAGAAACCACCAGGAGGCCAAAGCAUGUGAAGUUCAGUGAGCAGCAGAAGACAGAGAUGCAGUACCAGUGGAGUAAGAUCCUAUAGAGCUUUGUGGGCCAGAAGGACUUUAGACUUUCUCUUUAGUGAAUUAAAAGACCACUGGAGAUUUUUAAGAAGAAGGGUGAUGUGAUCUGACUUAUAUAAGUAAGGAUCACUGGCUAUUAGGUGAAGAAGAGACUUCACACAGGGUUAACCCAGAUAAUUUACAUUGUACCUCAGUCUAAAUGGUUCUUAAAUAAUUAAAUGCUUUCCACUUCUGUCUUUCUUCCAGCUUUCCCUUUAUAGAGUUGCUUCUUGCAUACAGUUGGCCUAGGAGAGCUGGCUGUGUAGUUUAGAAGGUUAUUCUGUUUCAGAAUCUAACAAGGGCCAGGAAGGCAAACCUAGAGGAAGCAAGCAAGUUGUAGAUGGGUGUAGGCUUUUAUGAAUUAGAGUAAAGGAGACAUUUGCAAUUCUUCUACAUGAUGCAGGCAGUUCUGUAGAGAUUCAAGGCAGAAGUCUUUUCCAGAAACAGACAUUCAUUUCUGUGGGGGGCAAUACUGGGUCCCUCAGGAACCUGAAGGCAGCAGUGAGUAGAAGGUGGGUGGCAUUGCAAAGACAAUAAUGAAGAAAAACUCCCCAUGUUCAGCUGGGAACAAAGGAAGGUUGAUGUGGCUGCCUUUCAGGGGAACUUGGGUCUGACGUAGGUGCACAAGGAGAACUCCAUACAGCCAAGCUGAGUGGGGAAAGCCCAAAAGUGAGACACAACUGAGGAAAAGAAGCCACACUCUGUUUUGCACUGAAUUUGCUCAUGCUCAGGGAGCUAAGAGCCUUGAAGUUGUUUUUAGCAUGAGGAAGUUCUAACAAAUGGUUUACUUGUGCCUACAUGCCUGAAGGUAUUUUGGUAUGUACUUUUUAAACCAAGCAUCAGCAUUAUUGUUUGCUUAUACAGUUCAAUCAGAAUCAAAUAGGGCUUUUUUUUUUUUUUUAAAUUGCCUUUGCAUUUUCUCAAACCCUUUAAAGCAGGUAGCCCUUGAGAUUUUUGCAAGAAUCCUUCUCAUUUCUAGCAUGGGCUCUGUGUUCUCAACUCUGCUACAUGUUAGAAUCAACUGGGGAAAAUUUUAUUAUUAUUAUUUGAUGCCCCAUAACAGAAAAGAGAUGAUAAUCCACAGACUGGGAGAACAUAUUUGCCAAAGACACAACCGAUAAAAGAUUGUUACCUAAAAUACACAAAGAACUCUUACAGCUCAACAACUUAAAAAAAAAAA